AUUGAACGCUGGCGGCAUGCCUUACACAUGCAAGUCGAACGGUAACGGGCCUUCGGGUGCCGACGAGUGGCGAACGGGUGAGUAAUGUAUCGGAACGUACCUUUCAGUGGGGGAUAACGUAGCGAAAGUUACGCUAAUACCGCAUAUUCCGUGAGCAGGACGGCAGGGGAUCGCAAGACCUUGCGCUGAUUGAGCGGCCGAUAUCAGAUUAGCUAGUUGGUGAGGUAAAGGCUCACCAAGGCGACGAUCUGUAGCGGGUCUGAGAGGAUGAUCCGCCACACUGGAACUGAGACACGGUCCAGACUCCUACGGGAGGCAGCAGUGGGGAAUUUUGGACAAUGGGGGCAACCCUGAUCCAGCCAUGCCGCGUGAGUGAAGAAGGCCUUCGGGUUGUAAAGCUCUUUCGGCCGGGAAGAAAUCGUAUGGGUUAAUACCCUGUGCGGAUGACGGUACCGGCAUAAGAAGCACCGGCUAACUACGUGCCAGCCGCCGCCGUAACAC
rnacentral:rRNA from 1 species